GAUGAACGCUGGCGGCGUGCCUAAUACAUGCAAGUCGAGCGAACGGACGAGAAGCUUGCUUCUCUGAUGUUAGCGGCGGACGGGUGAGUAACACGUGGAUAACCUACCUAUAAGACUGGGAUAACUUCGGGAAACCGUAGCUAAUACCGGAUAAUAUUUUGAACCGCAUGGUUCAAAAGUGAAAGACGGUCUUGCUGUCACUUAUAGAUGGAUCCGCGCUGCAUUAGCUGGUUGGUAAGGUAACGGCUUACCAAGGCAACGAUGCAUAGCCGACCUGAGAGGGUGAUCGGCCACACUGGAACUGAGACACGGUCCAGACUCCUACGGGAGGCAGCAGUAGGGAAUCUUCCGCAAUGGGCGAAAGCCUGACGGAGCAACGCCGCGUGAGUGAUGAAGGUCUUCGGAUCGUANAACUCUGUUAUUAGGGAAGAACAUAUGUGUAAGUAACUGUGCACAUCUUGACGGUACCUAAUCAGAAAGCCACGGCUAACUACGUGCCAGCAGCCGCGGUAAUACGUAGGUGGCAAGCGUUAUCCGGAAAUAUUGGGCGUAAAGCGCGCGUAGGCGGUUUUUUAGUCUGAUGUGAAAGCCCACGGCUCAACCGUGGAGGGUCAUUGGAAACUGGAAAACUUGAGUGCAGAAGAGGAAAGUGGAAUUCCAUGUGUAGCGGUGAAAUGCGCAGAGAUAUGGAGGAACACCAGUGGCGAAGGCGACUUUCUGGUCUGUAACUGACGCUGAUGUGCGAAAGCGUGGGGAUCAAACAGGAUUAGAUACCCUGGUAGUCCACGCCGUAAACGAUGAGUGCUAAGUGUUAGGGGGUUUCCGCCCCUUAGCGCUGCAGCUAACGCAUUAAGCACUCCGCCUGGGGAGUACGACCGCAAGGUUGAAACUCAAAGGAAUUGACGGGGACCCGCACAAGCGGUGGAGCAUGUGGUUUAAUUCGAAGCAACGCGAAGAACCUUACCAAAUCUUGACAUCCUUUGACAACUCUAGAGAUAGAGCCUUCCCCUUCGGGGGACAAAGUGACAGGUGGUGCAUGGUUGUCGUCAGCUCGUGUCGUGAGAUGUUGGGUUAAGUCCCGCAACGAGCGCAACCCUUAAGCUUAGUUGCCAUCAUUAAGUUGGGCACUCUAAGUUGACUGCCGGUGACAAACCGGAGGAAGGUGGGGAUGACGUCAAAUCAUCAUGCCCCUUAUGAUUUGGGCUACACACGUGCUACAAUGGACAAUACAAAGGGCAGCGAAACCGCGAGGUCAAGCAAAUCCCAUAAAGUUGUUCUCAGUUCGGAUUGUAGUCUGCAACUCGACUACAUGAAGCUGGAAUCGCUAGUAAUCGUAGAUCAGCAUGCUACGGUGAAUACGUUCCCGGGUCU
rnacentral:rRNA from 1 species